rnacentral:lncRNA from 1 species
CCGCUAUCUUCUAGGAGUCAUCUGCUCCGAUGCCCAAGACAAGGUAUCUCCCCAAUUGGACUUGAUAGAUAAUGUAGUAGCCCAAUUUUCUCGGGCCCAAUUAAAUAAAUAAGCAACAAAAAUAAAAACCAAAAUAAUAAAAUAGUCCAGUUCCUUUUAGAAACCCAAAUUUAAAGCCCAAAUUCACUACCCAAUUACAGCGGCCCAAAUG